UAUGGUUGAAAAAAUUUAUUAUUAGUUUAUUUUACAUAUAAAUUUUAGUGUUAAUUUUUAAUUAUUUUAAUAAUAAUUAAUUUAUUUUGUAGUAAUUAAUAUUAAAAAUUUAAGGAAUUAAGAUUUAGUAAUAUUAAAAUUAACAACAAAUUUUGUGCCAGCAGUUGCGGUUAUACAAAAGUUAAAUUAAAUUAUAUUAGUAAUUAAUUAAUAAAUUAAAUUUAAUUUAAAUAGUAAAUUAUUAGGUGAAAUUUUAAUUUAUUUAAAAAUUUAUUUAAAUUUUAUGACUUAAUAAAUUAUUAAAAUAGACUAGGAUUAGAUACCCUAUUAUUAAUAAAUUAAAUUAAAAUACUAAAAUAGUAAAUGAUUAUUUAUUGAAACUUAAAUAAUUUGGCGGUAUUUUAGUUCAUUUAGAGGAAUCUGUUUAAUAAUUGAUAAUCCACGAAUAAAUUUACUUAACUUAAUAUUUUGUAUAUCGUUGUUUAAAAAAUAUUUUUUAGUAAAAAUAAUAUUUUAAAAUUAAAAAUAAAAAUUAAAUCAGAUCAAGAUGCAGAUUAUAGUUAAGAAUAUAAUGGAUUACAAUAAAUUUAUUUAAAUGAAGAUUAAUUUGUAAAAAUUGAUUGAAGGUGGAUUUAAAUGUAAUUUUAUUUAAUUUAGUAAAAUGAUUAUAAAUUAAAAUAUGUACAUAUUGCCCGUCGCUUUCAUAUAUAAAUUGAAAUAAGUCGUAACAAAGUAGAGGUACUGGAAAGUGUUUCUAGAAAGA
rnacentral:ncRNA from 1 species